rnacentral:lncRNA from 1 species
CAAAACUCUACAGACUGGGAAUCACCAGGGAGAGGGGAAAACCCAGCUGAGGGAUCUUGCUUCCAGGUCCAUAGAGGACAGUUCUCAGGGGGAACCCUGCAUGCAGGCCUGGGACUCCCCAGCUCCCCACACAGCCAGUCCUGCCCUUGCCCUGACUGGCUCCAGACUGACUCCAAAAUGGCUUCUUCUCUGUCCAGAGCUCCCUGAGAGGGGCAUCUCACUCCUUAAUGGUUGUCGGGCAGACUCUGAGUGUGCCUUGGCUCCCCCUCCCUACCUCUCCCUGAGCUGCUGGCAGACAGAGCCCCAGGAAUCUAGGUCAUCUCCUUGGGGGGUUACACUUGUUUGGCUGAAGCAGCUUCCAGAGGCCAGUGUGGAUUUGAGGACAUCAAGAGAUUGAGAAUCCACCGCUUCUCUUGGUAGCUUGUUUCCAUUGUUAAUCAUGAGAUACAGUUUUAUUUUAAAUCCAGAAAACUUCUUAACUUCAUCAAAAUCAAGGGUUUGGGGCACCAGGACUGACACGCUAAUGAUUUUCUUUUGUGCUCCAGUUUAGCAUCUAAAAUGUCAAGCUACGUCAUUGAAGUUGCCAACAACAGUAAGGGAUGUGUCACCGUUGUUGUUAGUACCAAUCCGGUAUUACGAUUGUUGGGUGAUGCUCUGACUGUGACCUUCCCCGCCUACGAGCUCCUUGGGUCAUUCUUCCCUAAAGACAAGCGGAGCGUUUCACCAGGGGAAACCUCAGUUGUAAACAAAGUUAGUAUCUGGAAAAUGUUCACCUAUGGAGUUGGGUUGACAGGAGCAGAAUGGUACUGCAUUACAGUGACCAGAGAGGAUGAUGAGUGGGUGGCUGUGUGUCAAACUCCUCUGCAUUGCACCUGGAUUGUGGAGGAUGAGAAAAUCUACCGCCAAGAUAAACUGUCAAUAUGCAAACCAUUUAGUUUUGUACCUGAAAAAUCCUGCUACAUCAUUAAAGUUACUAACAAAACCAAGGAAGUCAUCAGUGUUGUACUUCAUGAAGGUCUGCUAGCCCAAGUGCUGAGCAAUGGACUACAAAGAAUUUCAAGCCAUGUGAGAGACCGUUACUUCAAGUCAGGGGUUACAGUUUGUCCAGGAAAAACAAAAACCAUUCAUAAAGUGAACCCCAGGAAUUUAUCCUUCUACAAAUCCAUCGCUAAUGUAGCAGGCAUGGUAAAUAUGUCAACCUAUUCUAUAAAGGUGAUCAGGGAAAGGGAUAAACAGAUCGCUCAGUGUAACACCCCUUUGCAUUGCACCUGGAUCGUGGAGAGCCAUGGAAUGUGGCAAGAAAAUAAACCUACAGAAGUUUACAAAUUUCAAUUAACAUGCUUUUCUCCUGCUGCCUGCUUAUAAAAAUAUGGAGAAGACGACCCCAAUGAAUAUGCCUUAUAAAUCCAUGGGGCUUCGCCAGUAUUUGCCAACACAACAGUUGUGUGUGUCCUGGUGACUGACUAUGUGAACUAAUCAUUUGCAACAAAUAAUUUAUCUGACAAUUUUUUUCAAUUUUGAAUAAAUCACUUGCAAAUAAUUUUAGUAUUUAGCUG